UACGAAGGGGGCUAGCGUUGCUCGGAAUCACUGGGCGUAAAGCGCACGUAGGCGGAUUGCUAAGUCAGGGGUGAAAUCCUGGAGCUCAACUCCAGAACUGCCUUUGAUACUGGCGACCUUGAGUCCGGGAGAGGUGAGUGGAACUGCGAGUGUAGAGGUGAAAUUCGUAGAUAUUCGCAAGAACACCAGUGGCGAAGGCGGCUCACUGGCCCGAUACUGACGCUGAGGCACGAAAGCGUGGGAGCA
rnacentral:rRNA from 1 species